ACUCUCCUUCCCCACAUAUCUCCAAAAAAGAGAAGUAAUUUUUUUUUAAAAAAAUAAUGUAAGUGGGAAAGGGCCUUACCUUGCAAUUUUUUAUGUCUUUCCUUGGUUUUCGUUGCCUUUCCCAUCCACAGAAGUCUCGAUCAUAUGGGAGCCGCUUCAAUUGCAUGGGAGGCAAUUUUUCUUUCUGUAGGAGUCCCAAUUGCAUGGGAGGA
rnacentral:lncRNA from 1 species